GUCUCAGCGGCACAAUGGGUCAGUGUGUCUGGCUAUUAACCAGAAGGUUGAUGGUUCAAGCUCAACCAGGGACA